rnacentral:lncRNA from 1 species
GUAUCAUAGAGCAGUUGUGAUGUUUGCAUUCAAGUCACAGAGUUGAACAUUCCCUUUCACAGAGCAGGUUUGAAACACUCUUUUUGUAAUAUCUGGAUGUGGACAUUUGGAGCGCUUUCAGUCCUAUGUGCAUUCAAGUCACAGAGUUGAACAUUCCCUUUCAUAGAGCAGGUGGAUAUUUGUCUAGCUUUGAGGAUUUCGAGGAUAUUUGGAUAGCUUUGAGGAUUUCGUUUGAAACACUCUUUUUGUAGUAUCUGGAAGUGGACAUUGAGAGCGCUCUCAGGGUUUGAAACACUCUUUUUGUAGUAUCUGGAAGUGGAUUUUGAAACACUCUUUUUGUGGAAUCUGCAAGUGGAUAUUUGUCUAGAUUUGAGGAUU